AUGAAGACAGCCACCAUCUUAGUUCUGGUGGCUUUCAUCGCCAUGGGAAUGACCACUGCCUGUGCUCUGCAUUCACCCAAAAGUAAAUAAAAACCUGGAACUUGUCCCGAGAUGCUGACAGAAGAUUGUGACUAUUUUAUUGAUCGGUGCUCAGGAGAUGAAUCAUGCCCCAAUGAAGAUAAGUGCUGCAAAAGGGGAUGUGGUCACAUAUGUUUAUCUCCUGAAUUC
rnacentral:lncRNA from 1 species